rnacentral:lncRNA from 1 species
AAAAUAUUUGGUCCAUUUUCACUCUUCUCCAGUUGUCUUAUGUGUUGCCUUUGUUGGUGGUAUAUGUUGUUCUGUUUUGUUAGGUUUGUUUGAAUCAAGAGGCAAAUGAAGACCUCGCAUUGUGACUGGUUGAUCUCUGUCUCCCCACAGGUCGGCUUGAGGUUUGCGAGUCCCAGCUCCCACUGCCCCUGCCACCUGCCUUUCCCUUCUCAGGACAUACACAGGACUGGGAGAAAAUAGACUAAGUAUUUGAUAUUACAGUAUUGUUAGGUUUUUAUAUGUGCGGUAUCUUAGGAGGGAACAGAAAGCAGCAGACACACCACUGACGAUGGCUUCCAGUGUGGCAGGGGCCAAAGCCCUUGCUCUGUGGCUCCAGGGGCAGCCUGUGCAGGCCCAGCCUGGGGCCACUCAUGCUCCCCAGCCCCACACGAGGCCCAUCCCGUCUCAGCAUAGGCUUCCUUCUUUCCACUGUUCCUGGAGACCCAGCAGGCUGUCAUGGGCCUUUGGUCCCUACACAGUCCACUCCAGUGGCCACCAGGCUUCUGCAGCCAUCAUUUCCCAUGUGCACGUGGGAAAGAACUAGGCCAGGCUUCUAAGUUAUCUAGACCUUCCUUUUUUUUUUUUUUUUUUUUUUUUUUUGAGACACAGUCUCACUGUGUCGCCCAGGCUGGAGUGCAAGUGGUACGAUCUCAGCUCACUGCAACCUCUGCCUCCUGGGUUCAAGUGAUUCUCUGCCUCAGCCUUCCAAGUAGCUGGGAUUACAGGUGCACACCAACACACCCAGCUAAUUUUUGUAUUUUUAAUAGCGAUGGGGUUUCACCAUGUUGGCCAGGAUGGUCUCGAACUCCUGAUCUCAAGUGAUCCGCCCACCUCAGCCUCCCAAAAUGUUUGGAUUACAGGCAUGAGCCACCACCCCUGGCCUGGACCCUCUUUUUGACAUGUGUGAGCAUAGGCAGCAAGCAAGGCCAUGCAGAGAAGGGGUGCUUCCAGACUGCCCAGGCCAGGGGCAUCAUUAAGGGUGGGACUGUCUCGAGAGUGUCAUAGGAGAGUUGAGACCAACACACAAGUGUUGGAGAUGAUGGUUGAGGCAGGAGCAAGGUUUUUUGGGGUUUUUAAGAUGGGGUCUUGCUUGUAGCUCAUAGCAAUCAUAGCUUACCGCAGCCUCAAACUGCUGGGAUCAAGUGGUCCUCCCGACUCAGCCUUCAGAGUGACUAGGACUACAGGUGGGCACCACUGUGCCGGGCGAGUGUUAAUUAUUACCCUAGGUUUAAAAAUAUGCUUUGUACUGGGUUUGCAUAGGCCAUUUCCCCUCUGUCUGCAGGGUACUGAUGUCCCCAUCUCUCUGCAUAGCUGCAAAGGGGACCAGGGAGGCAUUGCUGUGGCAACCGCCAUGGCAGGGUCAAGGAGCUCCUUGUGUGGCUUUCACACUUCUGACGGGCUGAGAUCCAGAUCCAGGCCCCAGACCUGUGGUAAUGCUGCUCAUCGAGCCACCACCUGGGCUGAGGAGCAGAAAUGAGGCCCCCAGGUCAGAGCAGAGACCUGCCGGGGCCACCUCCAUCAUCAGCCCUGAUUUGGGGCCACCCUCUCAUGUCCCUCAUCCUCCUGCCCAGUGAAGCAGUGGCUGCUCCAGCUGGAGCUCCAGGAGAGAGGGCUAGGCUAUGCCUUGAACCAGAGCCUGGGUGAUGAAAGGGCCCCAAAGUGGGACCAGCCUGACUGUCCCCUUCCAUCAGGCAGAGAGGAAAAGCAUGGCACUCCCCCGCUGGGAAAUACCCUGCAGUCACAGGAUGAACCGGCUAGAUGUGUGGACAUUGCUAGGUCUUUUUUUUUUUUUAUUAGAGAUGGGGUCUCGCUCGGUUGCCCAGGCUGGAGUACAGGGGCACAAUCAUGGCUCACUGCAGGCUCGAACUCUUGGGCUCGAGCCAUCCUCCCAUCUGAGGCUCCCAAGUAGCUGGGACCACAGCUAUGUGCCACCAUGUCUGGCAGGAGCAAGAUUAAAGUGUAUAGUGGGAAGCCAUUCGGAGCUAAGCAAGAUGCAGGCAGGAAAAGUAGAGAAGUGGGGACUGUGGUUGUGAACACUGUACUCCUGGCCAGACAUGGGACAGGCAGGUAACUUUCUGGAGAACACCCUGCCAGCUGUAAUCAGACACCCUGGGGCCCCUACGGAAAGGAGGGCACAGCUCCAUCCUGGCCAACACAAGGCCAAUGCAUGGAUCCUCCAUGGGACCUGUGGCUGUGGCACAGUCGCAUAUGUUUUUCACCCUUUUUACCCUGCACACGUUCUCUCAAGCACCUUUUAUUUUUAUUUUUUUGAGACAGAGUCCUGCUCUUUUGCCCAGGCUGGAGUGCAGUGGUGUGAUCAUAGCUCACUGCAGCCUCAACCUCCCAGGUUCAAGCGAUUUUCCUGCCUCAGCCUCCAGAGUAGCUGGGACCACAGGUGCAUGCCACUACCUCUGGCUAAUUAAAAAAAUUUUUUUGUAAAGAUGGAGUCUGGCCAUGUUGCUCAGGCUGUUUUUUGUUGUUGUUGUUGUUUGUUUUUGUUUUUUUGAGAUGGAGUCUUGCACUGUCGCCCAGGCUGGAGUGCAGUGACACAAUCUCGGCUCACUGCAACCUCCACCUCCCGGGUUCAAGUGAUUCUCCUGCCUCAGCCACCCAAGUAGCUGGGACUACAGGUGGAUGCCAUAACACCCGGCUAACUUUUGUAUUUUUAGUAGAGAUGGAGUUUCAUCAUGUUGGCCAGGCUGGUCUUGAACUCCUGACCUCAGGCGAUCUGCCCGCCUCAGCCUACCAAAGUGCUGGGAUUACAGACAUGAGCCACUGCGCCCGGCCUCAAGGACUUCUGGGCUUUGCAGGGUCAGUUUUUCCUCUAAAGAUUUGUGCUUCUUGUGCUUUUCUGGCUAAUAUUCUAUUUUGGACAACCAUCCCUGCACAAUCGCCACUGACAAUUUUUUUUUUUUUGAGACCGAGUCUCAUUCUGUUGCCCAGACUGGGGUGCAGUGGUGUAAUCUCGUCUUACUACAACCUCUGCCUCCCGGGUUCAAGCGAUUCUCCUGCCUCAGCCUCCCGAGUUGCUGGGGCUACAGGUGUGCGCCACCUCGCCCAGCUAGUUUUUGUAUUUUUAGUAGAGAUGGGGCUUCACCAAGUUGCCCAGGCUAGUCUUGAACUCCUGACCUCAAGUGAUCCACCCGCCUCCGUCUCCCAAAGUGCUGGGAUUACAGGCAUGAGCUGCCGCUCCUGGCCGCCACUGACAAUUUUUACUGGUACUUGUUACAGUCCCAGACGCCACCUGUCACCUGUGUUAGGGGCUUCAGAGUGCCUAGCUGCAGGUUGAGGUCCUGGUCUCGUCACUGCUGCUUGCUGAGUCUGCUUCCGAUGCAUACGUCACAUUUACUUCCCCACAGGCCAUUCCUUAGCAUCUCUUACUGCUUGGCCUCCUCCUUCGUCCCUGUGGCUGGUAUAGCUCACUCCACAUUCUCAAACGGUUUUAAAAUGUUUUUCUUUUGGCUGGGCGCAGUGGCUCACAUCUGUGAUCCCAGCACUUUGGGAGGCCGAGGCAGGUGGAUCAUGAGAUCAGGAGAUCGAGACCAUCCUGGCCAACACAGUGAAAUGCCGUCUCUACUAAAAAUACAAAAAAUUAGCCAGGCGUGGUGGCGGGUGCCUGUAAUCUCAGCUACUUGGGAGGCUGAGGCAGGAGAAUCACUUGAAUCUGGGAGGCGGAGGUUGCAGUGAGCUGAGAUCACAGCACUGCACUUCAGCCUGGGUGACAGAGCGAGACUCUCUCAAAAACAAAACAAAAUUUCUUUUUCUUUGAUUUUCUUUUUGUAGAGAUGGGAGUCUCAUUAUAUUGCCCAGGCUGGUCUUGAACUUCUUGCUUCAAGCGAUCUUCCUGCCUUAACCUCCCAAAGGGCUGGGAUUACAGGCGUGAGCCACUGCACCUGGCCUAAAAUAUCUUUCUGUAAUUCAAUCUGUAGGUCAAACCUGCCACUCUAAUGUAGUGGUAGAAACUGAAUUUCAGUUAAUUUGGAGGUUUUCCUGUCUUUCCCACAGGGGUAUGGCACUGUCAGCGGAAGACUGUCAGAUCUCUGCAGCAUGACCCUCAUCCUUGUUCCCAACCUUUUCUGUCAGUCACUGUCUGCCUCCCUUUCUUUGGUUGGCUGCCCAUCAAUGACCUAUUAUCAUCAUUGCCAUAGAUCCCUGAGAAGCACUCCCCCUCCCACAGUUGCCAUUCCAAUCUUGCUACACAGUAUAAGAGCCCUCUUGGCUUCUGAGGGUUAAAUGUUGCCAUCCAGAAUGGUUAAAUGCCAUUCCAGAAUCGUGUCAUCCCCAAGACACUAAGGAGCCAAGUUCCAUGGCAGCAUCUCCUAGCCACAGAGCACAGCCACCACCAGCUUUCUAUGACACCAGUGCCCCCUCACGUCCACAUUCUGCAUUGCCUUAGUGAAGAGCGCCUCCUCUGGGCAGCUCCAUGAAACACCUUCUGGUCUCAUGUAAUAAAUCCGUUCUAACAUUCCCACUUCCCUGAGCCUUCAUCUCUACCUCAUUAAUGGUAGGCCACUAUGGUGUCCAAGCUUCCGGGAGCCGUCUGGCGUGAAGACAAGCUCCAGCUGUCCUUUGACAGGACUUUAAAUCCUGAGUCUUGGGGCAUGCACCCUUGUCAAUCAAUGCCCCACCGGUCUUCUAUUGCCCCCUCCCCGCCUGGAUCUGGUACCCCACCUGGAUCUGGUACCCUCAUGAUCGCUCCCGCAAGUGUUCUCCCAGGUCCUGCAACUUUUUGGGUGACUGAGUGAUUUCCUCCUAGGGUAGGAAAUAUUUCACUGCUUGGGCUAUGCUGAGAUGUGAUCCUGCUUGUUGGUCUGGAGGCAAUGAGAGGAGGUGGAUCUUGAGGAGGAUUAGUGUUAUCUUACAGGGUACUCACCUGUAACGGGGAGAUCUCUGCACUGUCUCCAGGCUAGAUGAAGCUGUCCUCCUCUGUCAAUGGGAAGAAGGCAGUUUCUGCUGGCCAGGAUGCUUCAGGGGACUCUGGGGGCUCAAGGUUCUUUGGUACAUCCACCCAAACAUCCCACGUCAGGCCUAGAGUCCCAUUUAUUCCUUUAAAAGCACCCAAUGGGCCGGUUACUGUGGCUCAUGUCUGUAAUCCCAGAAGUUUGUGAGGCCAUGGCAGGUGGAUCAGUUGAGGCCAGGAGUUCGAAACCAGCCUGAGGAACAUAGCAAGAUCCCCGUCUCUACAAAAAUAAAAAUAAUAGAAGCCCCCACUUUAGUACAGGAGACCUGCUGAGGAUGCACAAGUGUCUUUUGCAGCUCUGCUGCUCUUGUGAUGAAAUAUUGGUUCUCAUUUUCAGCAUGCUCUGCCUCCUGGCCACGGAAGCAAGGUUUUCUUUACAUGUUGUCUUGGGAGAGUUCCUGCCUUUCACAGCAUACUCUGAGUAGAUAGCAGGCUGAACUGCAUCUUUCAUUCUCUUGCUUCAAAGCUGCUAAGGUGAUUUAGAAAAGCUAGCCACCUCCAUAAUCCUUGCAACAGCAGCUGCUUCCACAUCUUUCAAGUGACAAAGCUACUGCAUAAGCCAAGCUUUCUCUUCAACUUCUAUCUCCUUAUCUACCACAGGUAAGAGUCUCAUGCUUCAGGACACAAGGUUAUCACCAACUGUGUGUGUGUGUGUGUGUGUGUCUUUGUUGCCUUCCGAAUGGUAAGUGAUCUACUUUUAGAUUCCUAUCGCUAGGUCUGUCUUCUAGUGCUACCUCUAUUACUCAUUGCCUUAGCUUGAAUCCUCACAAAAACAGAGCUUGAUCCUGGAACUUCGGCAUAGUUAACUUGGGACAUUCCAGGAAACUGUAAUCCAUGUAAUUCCAUGCCUAUAAUCCCAGCACUCUGGGGGCCAAGGUGGGUGAAUCAGUUGAGGCCAGGAGUUUGAGACCAGCCUGGUCAACAUGGGGAGAGAGAUUGGGAAGAGUGACCCAGGGUACAGAACCAUGAGCCACAGCUGCAGCUUCAGUCAGAGCAGGGCUGACCAGAUAUAACCAGAAGUCCCAACAGCAUCCUGGACACCUCUCCUGCCUCCUAAGGGUGCAGAAAUCUGUGACAAUGGCUAAGCAGUAUCUGCUCCUCUGGAUUCAGGUGCCUAUCUCUUGUGGAGCUUUGUUCAUUCUAGAAGUACUUGGAGAGGUCCAAGCAUCGUGCCUCACGCCUGUAAUCCCAGCACUUUGGUGGCCAAGGUGGGCGGAUCAGUUGAGGUCAGGAGUUUGAGACCAGCCCGGUCAACAUGGCAAAACCCCACCUCUGCUAAAAACACAAAAAUUAGCCAAUCGUGGUCGUGCAGACCUGUAAUCCUAGCUACUUGGGAGGCUGAGGUAGGAGAAUCACUUGAACUCGGGAGGCAGAGGUUGCAGUAAGCCGAGAUUGCGCCACUGCACUCCAGCUUGGGCAACAGAGUGAGACUACGUCUCAAAGAAAAAAUAGGCUGGGCGCGGUGGCUCACGCCGGUAAUCCCAGCACUUUGGGAGGCUGAGACGGGUGGAUUAUGAGGUCAGGAGUUCGAGACCAGCCUGACCAAUAUGGUGAAACCCCGUCUCUACUAAAAAUACAAAAAUUAGUCCAGCAUGGUAGUGUGUGCCUGCAGUCCCAGAUACUUGGGAGGCUGAGGCAGGAGAAUAGCUUGAACCUGGGAGGCGAAGGUUGGAGUGAGCUGAAAUUGUGCCACUGCACUCCAGCCUGGGCGACAAAGUGAGACUCCAUCUCAAAAUAAAUAAAAAAAUAAAAAUAAAAAUAGCAAUACAACUAUUUGGAGAGGGCCAAAUAAGUGGGGAGCACUUCUCCACACUGAGAUACAGGCGGGAACAGAACAACAAACCCCAUAGAGCUUAUGUUUUAGUUGGAGGAGACUAAGAAUAAAUACAAUAUGUAGUAGGUCAAGUGUUAAUGGGUGCUAGAAACAAGAAGUGGGGGCCAGGCACGGUGGCUCACACCUGUAAUCCCAGUACUCUGGGAGGUCGAGGUGGGUGGAUCACCUGAGAUAAGGGGUUCAAAACCAGCCUGGCCAACAUGGUGAAACCCCAUCUCUACCAAAAAUACAAAAAUCAGCUGGGCAUGGUGGCGGACACCUGUAAUCCCAGCUAGUCAGGAGGCUGAGGCAGGAGAAUUGCUGCAAUCCAGGAGGCAGAAGUUGCAGUGAGCUGAGAUCAUGCCACUGCAUUCCAGCCUGGGUGACAGAGUGAGACUGCAUCUCAAAAAAAA